UUUUCUUCAGGUUGACCUCGGAUCAGGUAGGGAUACCCGCUGAACUUAAGCAUAUCAAUAAGGCGGAGGAA
rnacentral:rRNA from 1 species